rnacentral:rRNA from 4 species
AAAUUGAAGAGUUUGAUCAUGGCUCAGAUUGAACGCUGGCGGCAGGCCUAACACAUGCAAGUCGAACGGUAACAGGAAGCAGCUUGCUGCUUUGCUGACGAGUGGCGGACGGGUGAGUAAUGUCUGGGAAACUGCCUGAUGGAGGGGGAUAACUACUGGAAACGGUGGCUAAUACCGCAUAACGUCGCAAGACCAAAGAGGGGGACCUUCGGGCCUCUUGCCAUCAGAUGUGCCCAGAUGGGAUUAGCUUGUUGGUGAGGUAACGGCUCACCAAGGCGACGAUCCCUAGCUGGUCUGAGAGGAUGACCAGCCACACUGGAACUGAGACACGGUCCAGACUCCUACGGGAGGCAGCAGUGGGGAAUAUUGCACAAUGGGCGCAAGCCUGAUGCAGCCAUGCCGCGUGUAUGAAGAAGGCCUUCGGGUUGUAAAGUACUUUCAGCGGGGAGGAAGGGAGUAAGGUUAAUAACCUUAUU